AACAUAACAUAACAUAACAUAGAUUCUUAUUCCUUCCGUAUAAAACCUACUAUGCAUAGCAUAGUUAUCACACCACAUAGAUAGGUGCCAGUGGUUUUUUUGACCGAAACAGUUUGGUGCUUCUGAAAAAAAAUUUGUGCCAGAUGUGUACGUCAUGUAAUUUCAUUUCAACUUCAUUACAUCCUGUAAAAGUAACAAUUAUACUUCCUAGUUGUGCAUUGUUACUUCUAUGCCAAAUUCUUUCAACAAAUGAUGAUAAUGCUUGCUUUCAAGUAAUGAAUGGACAAACUUGGAAGACGCAUGGAGAGAGGGAGCCUGGAUUUGCCAAGGAUGAGCAACAAGGCAAGGAUGAGGAUCAGCAAGUUGAACUUGAAGGAGCUGUCACUAUCGGCUUUGGAUGAGGUGGAUAAGUGAUGAAGUUCAAGAUUGAAGGUUGGCUGGUCUCCUAGCCAGUAGGAUUUUUUUUUUUUUUUUUUUUAAAAGUGAGAUAUACUAGUAUUAAAACCAAAAGGCAAAGCACAUUCAGGUUCCUGCAUAUGCAGGCCAGAAACAAUAAAAUUACAAGCCGUUUACAUUCAAAUCAGAUUGCAAGAAGGAAGAAAUGCAGUGGGGAGCAACUCCUUUCCAAAGGCGAUGGAGACCAGAUCUUCGAGCUUGUUGAGCAAGCUCAUGAGCCACAGUGUUGAAGCUUCUAUUGAUGUGCUUGAAAAGGCAGGACUCAAAAGAAACACUCACCUAGAGAAUUCCUUGAAUGAUAUGUCCCAUGCUACUCCCCGUGGCA